UACAUGGGGGGCAAGCGUUGUUCGGAAUUACUGGGCGUAAAGGGUGUGUAGGUGGCCUACUAAGUCAGACGUGAAAUCCCUCAGCUUAACUGGGGAACUGCGUCUGAUACUGGAUGGCUUGAGUGUGGGAGAGGAAUGCGGAAUUCCAGGUGUAGCGGUGAAAUGCGUAGAUAUCUGGAGGAACACCGGUGGCGAAGGCGGCAUUCUGGGCCGUAACUGACACUGAGAGACGAAAGCCAGGGGAGCAAACGGG
rnacentral:rRNA from 1 species